AUUGAACGCUGGCGGCGUGCUUAACACAUGCAAGUCGAGCGGUAACAGGCGUAGCAAUACGUGCUGACGAGCGGCGAACGGGUGCGUAAUACAUGGGAAUCUGCCCUUUGGUGGGGAAUAACCCGGCGAAAGCCGGGCUAAUGCCGCAUAAGAUCUUCGGAUGAAAGCGGGGGGUCGUAAGACCUCGCGCCGAUGGAUGAGCCCAUGUCGGAUUAGCUAGUUGGUGAGGUAACGGCUCACCAAGGCGACGAUCCGUAGCUGGUCUGAGAGGACGGCCAGCCACACUGGGACUGAGACACGGCCCAGACUCCUACGGGAGGCAGCAGUGGGGAAUAUUGGACAAUGGGGGAAACCCUGAUCCAGCGACGCCGCGUGUGUGAAGAAGGCCUGCGGGUUGUAAAGCACUUUCGAUGGGAACGAAAUGUGCCGGGCUAAUACCCCGGCAAGCUGACGUUACUCAAUGAAGAAGCACCGGCUAACUCUGUGCCAGCCGCCGCAGUAA
rnacentral:rRNA from 1 species